AGCGAACGCUGGCGGCAGGCCUAACACAUGCAAGUCGAGCGGGCACUUCGGUGUCAGCGGCAGACGGGUGAGUAACACGUGGGAACGUACCCUUUGGUUCGGAAUAACGCUGGGAAACUAGCGCUAAUACCGGAUACGCCCUUUUGGGGAAAGGCUUGCUGCCGAAGGAUCGGCCCGCGUCUGAUUAGCUAGUUGGUGGGGUAAUGGCCUACCAAGGCGACGAUCAGUAGCUGGUCUGAGAGGAUGAUCAGCCACACUGGGACUGAGACACGGCCCAGACUCCUACGGGAGGCAGCAGUGGGGAAUAUUGGACAAUGGGCGCAAGCCUGAUCCAGCCAUGCCGCGUGAGUGAUGAAGGCCUUAGGGUUGUAAAGCUCUUUUGUCCGGGACGAUAAUGACGGUACCGGAAGAAUAAGCCCCGGCUAACUUCGUG
rnacentral:rRNA from 1 species